CUACGGGGGGCUCCAGUGGGGAAUAUUGGGCAAUGGGCGCAAGCCUGACCCAGCAACGCCGCGUGAGGGAAGAAUGUCUUCGGAUUGUAAACCUCUGUCCUUGGGGACGAAAAAAAUGACGGUACCCAAGGAGGAAGCUCCGGCUAACUACGUGCCAGCAGCCGCGGUAAUACGUAGGGAGCAAGCGUUGUCCGGAAUUAUUGGGCGUAAAGGGUGCGUAGGCGGCGCUGUAAGUCAGAUGUGAAAUCCCCGGGCUUAACUCGGGAGUUGCAUUUGAAACUACAGUGCUUGAGUAAAGAAGGGGUAAGUGGAAUUCCUAGUGUAGCGGUGGAAUGCGUAGAUAUUAGGAGGAACACCAGUGGCGAAGGCGACUUACUGGUCUUUUACUGACGCUGAGGCACGAAAGCGUGGGGAGCAAACAGGAUUAGAUACCCCUGUAGUC
rnacentral:rRNA from 1 species